GUUUGAUUCUGGCUCAGAUUGAACGCUGGCGGGAUGCUUUAUACAUGCAAGUCGAACGGCAGCACGGACUUUAUUCAGUGGCGAGUGGCGGAACGGGCAGGGAAUGUAUCGGAACGUGCCUAGGAAGUGGGGAUAACUACGCGAAAGGUAGCUACAUUACCGCACAUUGCCCUUCGGGGGAAAGUUGGGACCUUUCGGGCCUCGCACUAUUAGAGCGGCCGAUAUCGGAUUAGCUAGUUGCGGGGUAACGGCUCACCACAGCGAUGAUCCGUAGCUGGUUUGAGAGGACGACCAGCCACACUGGGACUGAGACACGGCCCAGACUCCUACGGGAGGCAGCAGUGGGGAAUUUUGGACAAUGGGGGAAACCCCGAUCCAGCCAUCCCGCGUGCGAUGAAGGCCUUCGGGUUGUAAAGCACUUUUUGGCAGGAAAGAAACGGCACGGAUAAUACCCCGUGCAACUGACGGUACCUGCAGAAUAAGCACUGAUAACUACGUGCCAGCAGCCGCGGUAAUAAUGUAGUGCAAGCGGUUAACGGGAAUUACUGGGCGAAGCGUGCAGGCGUGGUUCGGAAAGAAAGAUGAACCGCAGAGCUUAACUUUGGAACUGCAUUUUUAAUCACCGAGAGCGAGAGGUCAGAGGAGGUGGAAUUGCGUGUGUAGCAGUGAAAUGCGUAGAUAUGCGGAGGAACACCGAUGGCGAAGGCAGCCUCCUGGGAUAACACUGACGCUCAUGCACGAAAGCGUGGGGAGCAAACAGGAUUAGAUACCCUCUGCAGUCCACGCCCCAAACGAUGUCAACUAGCUGUUGAAGCCUUCGGGCCUCGGUAGCGCAGCUAACGCGUGAAGUUGACCGCCUUGGGAGUACGGUCGCAAAGAUUAAAACUCAAAGGAAUUGACGGGGACCCGCAAGCGGUGGAUGAUGUGGAUUAAUUCGAUGCAACGCGAAAACCUUACCUACCCUUGACGAUGGUUCUGGAAUCCCGAAGAGAUUUGGGAGUGCUCAAAAGAACUGGAACACAGGUGCUGCAUGGCUGUCGUCAGCUCGUGUCGAGAUGUUGGGUUAAGUCCCGCAACGAGCGCAAACCUCGUCAUUAGUUGCUACGAAAGGGCACCUAUCGAGACUGCCGGUGACAAACUGGAGGAAGGUGGGGAUGAUGUCAAGUCCUCAUGGCCCUUAUGGGUAGGGGCUUCACGUCAUACAAUGGUCGGGACAGAGGGUCGCCAACCCGCGAGGGGGAGCCAAUCCCAGAAAACCCGAUCGUAGUCCGACGUCUGCAACUCGACUGCGUGAAGCUGUGGAAUCGCUGCAGGCAAUCGCGGAUCAGCAUGUCGCGGUGAAUACGUUCCCGGGUCUUGUACACACCGCCCGUCACACCAUGCUGGGAGUGGGUUUUACCAGAAGUAGUUAGCCUAACCGUAAGGAGGGCGAUUACCACGGUAGGAUUCAUGACUGGGGUGAAGUCGUAACAAGGUAA
rnacentral:rRNA from 1 species